GACGAACGCUGGCGGCGUGCUUAACACAUGCAAGUCGAACGGAAAGGCCCUGCUUUUGUGGGGUGCUCGAGUGGCGAACGGGUGAGUAACACGUGAGUAACCUGCCCUUGACUUUGGGAUAACUUCAGGAAACUGGGGCUAAUACCGGAUAGGAGCUCCUGCUGCAUGGUGGGGGUUGGAAAGUUUCGGCGGUUGGGGAUGGACUCGCGGCUUAUCAACUUGUUGGUGGGGUAGUGGCUUACCAAGGCUUUGACGGGUAGCCGGCCUGAGAGGGUGACCGGCCACAUUGGGACUGAGAUACGGCCCAGACUCCUACGGGAGGCAGCAGUGGGGAAUAUUGCACAAUGGGCGGAAGCCUGAUGCAGCAACGCCGCGUGCGGGAUGACGGCCUUCGGGUUGUAAACCGCUUUCGCCUGUGACGAAGCGUGAGUGACGGUAAUGGGUAAAGAAACACCGGCUAACUACGU
rnacentral:rRNA from 1 species